rnacentral:lncRNA from 1 species
AAUGGGAUUGGCAAAUCACGACCUAACCUUACAAGAGAAAACGUGUUCAUUUUAAUAAGGACACUAUGGUGAAUACGAAUAUAAAAAGGACAGAUAUGUGAUUUUGAUUCUAAAAUGUGGGUCCAAGGUUGGUACAAGGAUGAGUCACAGGUAAACCAACAUGAUUGUGAGAGGUAAGUUUAAGUGGCGGUAUGUGUCCGCCUGGGUACUACAGGUGUUAUGUUGGUGAAGUGUCUCUAUGACUGAGUCUGACGAAAAUGUCUGUAUUUCUUAUGAGUACUGUGCUUGUGGACUAUCGGUGUUCUUGUACUCAUUUUGUGUCUACUUGGAACUCACUAAGUUGAAAUGAACUUACUUUGUUACUUUUUUUUUCUUAGGUGUUUUGUUGUAGAAGAAGAUCAGUAGAAGGGGACUACGCCAAAGCUACAUUUGAGAGUGAGCCAUUUGUCUAUUUUUGUAUCAUGCAUGGCAAUUUUGGCGGGUGGUGUAUAAAUCUGUUUUGUAAUAAACUUUUGUAACUAUUUUCUUUGUCUAUAUUGUUUUUGUUUCAAAGGAGUUAUCCC